rnacentral:rRNA from 1 species
UGGGGAAUUUUGGACAAUGGGCGAAAGCCUGAUCCAGCAAUGCCGCGUGUGUGAAGAAGGCCUUCGGGUUGUAAAGCACUUUUGUCCGGAAAGAAAUCCUUGGCUCUAAUACAGUCGGGGGAUGACGGUACCGGAAGAAUAAGCACCGGCUAACUACGUGCCAGCAGCCGCGGUAAUACGUAGGGUGCAAGCGUUAAUCGGAAUUACUGGGCGUAAAGCGUGCGCAGGCGGUUUGCUAAGACCGAUGUGAAAUCCCCGGGGCUCAACCUGGGAACUGCAUUGGUGACUGGCAGGCUAGAGUAUGGCAGAGGGGGGUAGAAUUCCACGUGUAGCAGUGAAAUGCGUAGAGAUGUGGAGGAAUACCGAUGGCGAAGGCAGCCCCCUGGGCCAAUACUGACGCUCAUGCACGAAAGCGUGGGGAGCAAACAGGAUUAGAUACCCUGGUAGUCCACGCCCUAAAACGAUGUCAACUAGUUGUUGGGGAUUCAUUUCCUUAGUAACGUAGCUAACGCGUGAAGUUGACCGCCUGGGGAGUACGGUCGCAAGAUUAAAACUUAAAUGAAUUGACGGGGUC